rnacentral:tRNA from 1 species
GCUGCUUUGGUGGAAUGGUAGACACGGUAGAUUUAGGAUCUAUUGAAAUUAUUCGUACAAGUUCAAGUCUUGUAAGCAGUA